UGGCUUUUCAGCCGAAGUCUGCGAGAUAAGUCCACAUAACAGCGACUUUUUAUAAUUUUUUGGACGAAUGGUGGUAAAUUGCUUUGUAAAUGGUUAGUUUAUUUUGAAAAAUUGCUUUUCACAUUGUUUUAAUUGUCUGCAUUGGUUAACGAAAAUUAGAUGCCACCCAAAAAUGGCGGAUAUUCGUCAUCGUGAGAAAGGCUAAU